rnacentral:misc_RNA from 1 species
UUAAGUUCAGCGGGUAUUCCUACCUGAUCCGAGGUCAACUCUAAAAAAGUUGGGCGUUUUACGGCAGUGGCCGCGUCGCGCUCCUGUUGCGAGGUUGUGCUACUACGCAGAGGAGGCCGCGACGAGACCGCCAAUUCAUUUCGGGGGCGGCGGACGCUGGGCCCAAGAAGGGCGUCAGCGAGGUCGCCGGUCCCCAACAC